rnacentral:rRNA from 1 species
CACGGGGGGAGCAAGCGUUGUUCGGAAUCACUGGGCGGAAAGGGCGUGUAGGCGGUCAGGUAAGUGAGAUGUGAAAUGCCCCGGCUCACCCGGGGACCGGCAUCUCAUACUGCUUGGCUUGAGUACGGGAGAGGAUGUGGGAAUUCCUGGUGUAGCGGUGAAAUGCGUAGAUAUCAGGAGGAACACCGGUGGCGAAGGCGCACAUCUGGCCCGAUACUGACGCUGAGGCGCGAAAGCUAGGGGAGCAAACGGG